CGUGUGUGAAGUAAGGCCUUCGGGUUGUAAAGCACUUUCAGUAGGGAGGAACGGUAGUGUAGUUAACACCUUGCAUUAUUUGACGUUACCUACAGUAAGAAGCACCGGCUAACUCCGUGCCAGCAGCCGCGGUAAUACGGAGGGUGCGAGCGUUAAUCGGAAUUACUGGGCGUAAAGCGCAUGCAGGCGGCCUGUUAAGUCAGAUGUGAAAGCCCGGGGCUUAACCUCGGAAUUGCAUUUGAAACUGGCAGGCUAGAGUCUUGUAGAGGGGGUAGAAUUUCAGGUGUAGCGGUGAAAUGCGUAGAGAUCUGAAGGAAUACCAGUGGCGAAGGCGGCCCCCUGGACAAAGACUGACGCUCAGAUGCGAAAAGCGUGGGGAGCAAACAGGAUUAGAUACCCUGGUAG
rnacentral:rRNA from 1 species